rnacentral:rRNA from 1 species
GUGGGGAAUAUUGGACAAUGGGCGCAAGCCUGAUCCAGCAAUGCCGCGUGGGUGAAGAAGGCCUUCGGGUUGUAAAGCCCUUUUGUACGGAAAGAAAUCCUGGUGGUUAAUACCCGCCGGGGAUGACGGUACCGUAAGAAUAAGCACCGGCUAACUUCGUGCCAGCAGCCGCGGUAAUACGAAGGGUGCAAGCGUUAAUCGGAAUUACUGGGCGUAAAGCGUGCGUAGGUGGUUUCUUAAGUCUGUCGUGAAAGCCCUGGGCUCAACCUGGGAAUGGCGAUGGAUACUGGGAGGCUAGAGUGCGGUAGAGGAUGGCGGAAUUCCCGGUGUAGCGGUGAAAUGCGUAGAGAUCGGGAGGAACAUCUGUGGCGAAGGCGGCCAUCUGGACCAGCACUGACACUGAGGCACGAAAGCGUGGGGAGCAAACAGGAUUAGACACCCUAGUAGUCC